CUUUUAAAGCCUUACGUUCUAAGCUUUUUUUAUUGGAACGGUUCGGCGGUUAAUCCGGAGCGUGGGCCGGACGACCGUCCAAUCCGUGAUGGACGACCCACAGGAGCCGGCAGGCGGUUCGCCGAACCCGGCCACCCUCCCCGCACGACAACCGUGGCGUACGACGAGAAGGACACGCGUGGAGUUACUAUUCGCUCGAGGAACGUGCGAGUGGAACCGGAAGGGCGCAUGCGCACGUGGGGGAUCUGGACCGCUGGUUUUGGUGACUCCUUACGGUUGUCCGCUUGCUUUACUUAAAAAGCCCGGGUGGGACGGCUUUUUUCCACUCACCAAGCGCUUCUCUUGUUUUUCCUUCAACCUCCUCUUCGCCCCUGUUUUCCUUCUUUCUUUCCCAUUUUCUCUCUUAUUUUCCUAAACUUCUAUAUUUCUUCUACUCUCCCUUGAGACCUCUUUUCCAAUUCUCCCACUACUUAGAUAAGUUUCUAUAAUUCUUUAUGCUAAACUUUUAUUCUCCUUGUCCAAUCCAUUUGCUCUUGGAUUCCUAAUGAUCGUCUAAUUUGUUGCUCGACAUUCAAAUUUCCUUCUUGAAUCCAUUCGUUUUCAAAUUAUACUUUAACUUCUAAAAUUUCCAUACCUUCUAUGCUUUUCUUUUCAUGGUUAUACUUUUGACUUCAUUUUUCUUAGAUUUACUCCUUUUUCCCUGCCAAUUGCAUACAAUAUAAUUUCUUUUCUUAUAUCAACUCCUACGUAUGUUCACUCAUUUUGAUAUGAGCUAUUGAUUGAGGAAAAUGCUCGCUUUCUUUGUCAUGUUGUGACUUACAGUAGUUUGUUUAUAAUGGUUUUUGAGAUUUGAUUCCAUAGAGAUCUUAGAUUCAUAGCGUCUAUCCAUUUGUUUUUGUUGGGCAAGAAGAUAAUGAGAUUAUGGAUAUGCUUUUCCACGGCUUUCUUGAACUAUGGACUUGUUUGGAUUUCUUCUUUACCUCUUCUUUUAUAAGGAAGAUUUCAAGAGAUGAGAGACGAAAGGGGAAGACCGUUUAGUGCAAAGUUCAAGAAAGACGUGGGAAAACAUAACAGGUCUCCGAAUCCCACUACUCGUAUAGUUGGUAAUAACCUCCAUUCCUCUGCAAAUUCAAGAAGCUUUUUUUACUGUUGCAGCUCUGAAUUCUAAAUAUCUUGGUGUGAAGCCAAAUAUCAGGGAAUUGGCGCAGACUUUGAUUUUGUCUAAUUAGGUCCUUGAAUAGUUUGAUGAAGCUUCACUUGUCCCAUUAAAGAAAGAGCUCGAGAAAAAAAAAAAUGAAGUGACCUGGUAGCGUGAAUCUCGACCCUCCCACCAAGCAGCAGAACUAUCAGAAAUUGGCACAGAAGUUCUUCAAAGGCCGAGCUUUUGUUACCUCACCAAAAUCUCAUUUUGAUCAAAUUGUGAGUGCUAUACAUAGCAAAGAUCCUUCCCCCACCAUUUUCCCAAGAGAAAAAAAAUGAAAAGAAAAAGAAAAUAUUCAUGCAAUUAUGUCGUAGAAAUUUGUGAGAUUUAUUUGAUACAUAUGGUGCAAAGAAACGACUGUUUCUUUCAUCUCCUCCUUGCAUACGAGUAGCAUCCAUAACUUGGCUAGCUGUUUUUUUUUUUGGUUGAUGAAGAGAAUGUGAUCAUCUCGAUGAAGAAAUAUAACACUAGAUGUUAUGAUAUGCUUGUGCUCAUACAUUUUUUCUUUCAAUUUUUUUUAUGAGUUCUGACAUGCUUUUUUGUGAAUGGGCCUGGAGAAGAAAAGCAUCUGAGUGCAUGGAACUGGUCAUGGAAAUUGGAAAGCGAUGGUCAUAGGCUUUUCUUCAAUUUUUAUUUCUAUUUUCCCCUUCAUUUCCAAAUUGAAGCAAGAAGUGGAUGGCCAUUGGGGGAUUCUACGAAUUAUUCUUUAACAGCUAUGAGGAAAGCGAUCAGCUUUUGGCGGUCUCUGAUAGCUGCAGCACUGGGCAGUAGGCAGAGGAAAUAUCAGAAAGCGAAAGGUACAAAAGGAAGAAUGUGGGGAAAGGAAAGAAGAAACUCAUGUGAGUUCCUGUGCAAGAGGGGACUUUACAACUCAGAAGCACACAAGACAUGAAAGGAAGGAAGGUGGACGUAUAUGUGGCCUUUACAAUAAUGAGCAAAAAACGAAGAGAAGAGAAAGUGCUUGAAAACUGCUCACAAUUAAUCCACGUCUAUCCCAUGAACAAUAAGAUCCAAGGGAUCUGCAUGCAAGGUCUUUCAGAUGUAUUUUAUACGCAGACAUAUUUAUUUUCCUUUUCUAAUCACAGCUUAUGGGCAAGUUUGGAUGUCAAUAGAAGAAAGUACAUUGGAAGUGGGAUUCAGUAAGUUUUAAAUAUAACAGGGGGUGUCUGAUGGGAAACUGGAAAUAGAUAGGUUUGCCUUUAUGCCAUGAGAAAUGACUUGUAACUUUAUGGAGUCAUUUCAUGAUGGUAGUUGUGUAAGUAGUGAAUACAUAGGUUUUUGCGGAUUUUAGUGAAUACCAGAUUUUGAAAGCUGAUGAACCAAAAAAAAAGAAGAAAAGCUGUCCACUUUCUUAAA